CGUCGGUGUCAAUGGAGUCAUUGGGGGACACGGAGGGGGUGUGGCCUACCUGGAAGUAUGGCCUAAAAUGGGGGCGUGGCCUAUGGAUGGGGGCGUGGCUUAUGAUGGCGUGUGACCACUAUGGGGGCGUGGGCUGGGCGUGUCGGGGGCGUGGCUUCAGGGCAGAUGGCUGACCAAGAGGGUGGGUGAGGGGGCGUGGUUUGCGGCCGAGGGGGCGUGGUUAAGACGCGGUGGGCGUGGCCAGGAGAGCCGCGAGGUCGGCGAUUGGCGGAAGAACGUGGACGCGCUGAGCGGCAUGGAGGGACGCAAGAAGAAGUUCGAGGCCCCGGGGGGCGGGCAGGGCUGAGGUGUCUUCCCGACAGACCCUCGCUUUAAGGACAGCGUUGUGGCAUCCAGCACCUUUAAUCUCACUUCCUCCCCCCUUUCCCGCAAUAAUUUACUCCCCUCAAUAAAUUACCCAUCCCCUAAUAAA